UCCCUGGUGGUCCUGUGGUUUGAAUUUGGCACUUCAACUGCUGCAGCCCAGGUUCAAUCCCUGGUCUGGGAG
rnacentral:tRNA from 1 species